AUAGCCAACUGGCGCUCUUCAUCGUGAGUCAUUCGAUCUAGGAGCGCAGCCCGCGUCAAUCCCCGCCGUUCGUCCACUCCCAGUUCCCCUCAACGCGGGGUAAAACCCUAGCCCCGAGCCGCCGCCAGCCUCAUUCUCUUCCUCGUUUGUUCCUCUCUCCCACGGCCCGCGUUGUUUUCCUCCUUCUAUUGCGAUGCCACCCCGACCUGCCUCCAUGGAACGCCCCACCUCUCCUCCUCCAUCCUUCUCCCUCGAUGAGCUCGCACUACCCCCUCGCUCUGCCUCUCCUUCGUGCUCGGUGGGCCGAACACACGUGGCCGUGGCGACCAGUGGAGGAGAACAACUAACCAACUAGAAAAGCAGCAGGACCGGCAGCGACAAAUAUUCCUUCAAGGCACCGCAACAGUCAGGAUCAGAAGGUUGUUUUACUUGAUGGAGGUGCACACCGUUCAGACUUCAGAGUAUGCAGACAAGACAAGCAAUGAACUUCAAUUUUAUUUUCCCACGUGGGUGCUCCAGUGACCAUGAUAAGUUGUGUUUAGCUUGCUACGUCCUGGGUACAGUGUGUACAGGAAAUUAAUCUUUAGACCGACUGAUUUCACACAAAUAAUUGAUGCAAAAAAUCUUUGGCAUAUAAUUUUUGUGUUAGGGCCCUCUACAUGUUUGUUGUUAUGCUUCAUACAGCUGAAUCUAUUUGCUUGAUGUUUUUUUGACUGCCUACACAUGCUCAUAGACAGCGCACGUCACUGGCGAGCAAAUGCAAUCGUGGCCCAUGGGUGCACUUGGGUGGUCAUUGUGGUUGGCUGCGGAGCAUCAGUGAAGUGUAAAAUUUCCAGAUAAGACAAUAGAUAAUGAGCUAUCUUCAGAAAUCUGUAGAAAAGCAAUAUCUGAGCUCGAAGAAACCAAUUGGCAUGAACGGAUAAAAUUUAAAACUAGACCUAGCUGAAACUUGAUGAGAUCCGCAUGACAGAAACUGUAUGUGUAGCAAAGUUUGGAUGAGAAUGUUCAAUUAGUUGGAAUUCAGGUGGCUCCCUAUGUGGGAAUUGAGGUGAUCAGAAGUUCAUGAAAAUUUUAAGAAAUGGGUUUGGAUGAUGUAAGCUUCCCUGUUCAUUGCCAGCCCACCUGAUCCUCCAGAAAUGAUUACAGACCAGACAAGAUAUGGCCAAAGAUCAUCCUAGGAGUGGUGGGGCACUCCAAAUUGUUUUGAGUUCAUCUAAUUGCUUAUUGACCGGGGUUUCUUUAAACAUUUUGCUUCUGUUCAUACAUCGAUUCUGGGAUAAUCAGAUACUUGACAUAGUUCCAAUCGCGUGUGUACGUCUUCCUUAAAUGGCUUUUUUCGAAGAAGCUCAGAAUUAAUCGAUGAUGAUAGGAUGACAUGACAGUUUCCUGGUAAGACGACCAUGCGGAUUUGCAUGCCAAGGUCCAAGACAUGUACCUCCCAUGACUUGAUGAAGCAUCUGAGAGCUUUCACAUCGAAGACUGGACAGGAGUAGCAUGCCAACAGGAAAAUUGUGAACAAAGAGAACUGCGACGGUCCCUCAGAAGAAUUGAUCA